rnacentral:rRNA from 1 species
CCUACGGGUGGCAGCAGUGAGGAAUAUUGGUCAAUGGACGAGAGUCUGAACCAGCCAAGUAGCGUGAAGGAUGACUGCCUUAUGUGUUGUAAACUUCUUUUAUAAAGGAAUAAAACGAGGUACGUGUGCCUUUUUGCACGUAUUUUUUGAAUAAGGAUCGGCUAACUCCGUGCCAGCAGCCGCGGUAAUACGGAGGGUCCGAGCGUUAUCCGGAUUUAUUGGGUUUAAAGGGAGCGUAGAUGGGUUGUUAAGUCAGUUGUGAAAGUUUGCGGCUCAACCGUGAAAUUGCAAUUGAUACUGGCAGACUUGAGUACAGUAGAGGUAGGCGGAAUUCGUGGUGUAGCGGUGAAAUGCGUAGAUAUCACGAAGAACCCCGAUUGCGAAGGCAGCUUACUAAACUGUGACUGACACUGAUGCUCGAAAGUGUGGGUAUCAAACAGGAUUAGAUACCCCAGUAGUC